GUGAUGUCCGCCCAUCCCCCACUGCUCAUUCCCUGACACGCGGAGUCACAGCAGGACGGUAACUCGUAGUCGGACACACGCACUCCCGCAAAUUGUAUUUUAAAUCCAGAGAGACGUCUGACAGACCAUCAUCUCUAACCGUCGCUCGCGCCACAGAAACUGAAGCAACAGUGAAUUUUGGAAAAAGGAGCCUGACCAGGUGCAGAAGGCAGCUGUCGCCAUC